rnacentral:rRNA from 1 species
GGGGAAUUUUCCGCAAUGGGCGCAAGUCUGACGGAGCAACGCCGCGUGCAGGAGGACGCUUUUCGGAGUGUAAACUGCUUUUCUGUGGGAAGAGCGAGGACGGUACCACAGGAAGAAGCCCCGGCUAACUACGUGCCAGCAGCCGCGGUAAUACGUAGGGGGCGAGCGUUGUCCGGAGUUACUGGGCGUAAAGGGCAUGCAGGCGGUCGGACGCGUUUUGUGUGACAGCGGGUGGCUUAACUACCCGAGUAUGCGAAAGACGGUUCGACUUGAGAGCUCGAGAGGGACACGGAAUUCCGGGUGGAGUGGUGAAAUGCGUAGAGAUCCGGAGGAACACCGAAGGCGAAGGCAGUGUCCUGGCGAGCGACUGACGCUGAGGUGCGAAAGCUAGGGGAGCGAAAGGGAUUAGAUACCCCUGUAGUC